rnacentral:rRNA from 1 species
GACGAACGCUGGCGGUGUGCUUAACACAUGCAAGUCGAACGGUAAGGCCCUUUCGGGGGUACCCGAGUGGCGCACGGGUGAGUAACACGUGAGUAACCUGCCCUCAUCUCUGGGAUAACAGUCGGAAACGGUUGCUAAUACUGGAUAUGAGCUUGCAAGGCAUCUUGUGGGUUGGAAAGAUUUUUUUUGGUUGGGGAUGGACUCGCGGCCUAUCAGCUUGUUGGUGAGGUAGUGGCUCACCAAGGCUUCGACGGGUAGCCGGCCUGAGAGGGCGACCGGCCACAUUGGGACUGAGAUACGGCCCAAACUCCUACGGGAGGCAGCAGUGGGGAAUAUUGCACAAUGGACGGAAGUCUGAGGCAGCAACGCCGCGUGCGGGAUGACGGCCUUCGGGUUGUAAACCGCUGUCAAUUGUGACGAAGCGUUUUUGUGACGGUAGCAGUAGAAGAAGCACCGGCUAACUACGUG